rnacentral:rRNA from 1 species
UACGUAGGGUGCGAGCGUUAAUCGGAAUUACUGGGCGUAAAGCGUGCGCAGGCGGCGCGUUAAGACAGGUGUGAAAGCCCCGAGCUUAACUUGGGAAUUGCGCUUGUGACUGGCGUGCUGGAGUGUGGCAGAGGGAGGUGGAAUUCCACGUGUAGCAGUGAAAUGCGUAGAGAUCCGGAGGAACACCAGUGGCGAAGGCGGCUGCCUGGGCCUGGCCUGACGCUCAUGCACGAAAGCGUGGGGAGCAAACAGG